AUUGAACGCUGGCGGCAGGCUUAACACAUGCAAGUCGAGCGGGGUGAUGGUGCUUGCACUAUCACUUAGCGGCGGACGGGUGAGUAAUGCUUAGGAAUCUGCCUAUUAGUGGGGGACAACAUCUCGAAAGGGAUGCUAAUACCGCAUACGUCCUACGGGAGAAAGCAGGGGAUCACUUGUGACCUUGCGCUAAUAGAUGAGCAUAAGUCGGAUUAGCUAGUUGGUGGGGUAAAGGCCUACCAAGGCGACGAUCUGUAGCGGGUCUGAGAGGAUGAUCCGCCACACUGGGACUGAGACCCGGCCAAGACUCCUACGGGAGGCAGCAGUGGGGAAUAUUGGACAAUGGGGGGAACCCUGAUCCAGCCAUGCCGCGUGUGUGAAGAAGGCCUUAUGGUUGUAAAGCACUUUAAGCGAGGAGGAGGCUCUUUUGGUUAAUACCCAAGAUGAGUGGACGUUACUCGCAGAAUAAGCACCGGCUAACUCUGUGCCAGCCGCCGCAGUAA
rnacentral:rRNA from 1 species